rnacentral:lncRNA from 1 species
UAGCCUUCUACUAUGAUUUCGUGACUCGUACUAAUAUUCUAUUUUCAGCAAGGACUAAGAGACACCCCUAAGGAAGAAAAGUAGUAGUAGAAUCCAAUGAACACAUGGACCCAACACUCCUUUGGCCAAGUUGAUGAUUCUCCACCAUUUAUUUGCCUGCCUCACUAUAUACUUCUAGCAAGCCACUGCAAGGCUGCAUUGCAGCUAAGAGGAAGCCCUCCUUGAAGGCUGCACAGCAAGGAGUGUUGGCAGAGUAGCUGGGUUUCCACUGGGAGAGCACGAGUCAGCACCAUGCUGGGCUCAAGCAUGGAUAUGCACUGCUGCUGCCAGAGCAUCAUAAUUUGCAAGCAUUUAUCGAGUACCCUUCAUCUAAUUUUCAUCCUGCGGAAACUAGAAAUUGCUACACUUGCACACAAUAAACUUCUAGCAGUUAGCCUUCUAAACUGGGACACUACCAUUUGGGAGGGAAAAGACCUUUCUGGUGGUUAAAGAUGGGGCUUCCAGUUAGUGCAUUUGUUUUAAUACCGUCUAUUCCAUAGAGCCAUCGAUGGAGACUCAUUAUAUAACCUUUCGUGGAAAGCUUCUGACUUCUUUCUCAAUGCACAGGUGGGAUGUAAAGGGACAUCCCCAUCAUAAGGCACUUGCCCCAGGCUAGGAACUUAACUCUCCCACAGUCGACAUGUGGCUCUUUAGAUUUCAUGCCAUAAGUCUCCAGAGGUUUCUCAGGUCUUGCCCUGCAGAAGCAGAAGUCAUGGGAAGGAGCUGUCGCGUAGCUUUUUUUUUUUUUUUUUGGAGCUUGGGUGCUGAAGAUCAGUUCCUCCAACUUUUUGGUUUUUUAAUGUUUCACUCCAACUGCAAGUUUCACCCCAUUUCUAGUGUACUGUCCUUGAGAGAAGUGAAGUUUCAGAUGGGAGCAACUUCACUUGAAGCCCAUAUUAAA